GUCCAGGAUAGCUCAGGUUGGUAGAGCAUGAGACUCUUAAAGCUCAGGGUUAUGGCUUUGAGCCCUAUGUUGGGCA